rnacentral:lncRNA from 1 species
UUAUGAUGGAAAAUAUGCCUUAAUGUCUAAACAAUCUAGACUUGGCACUCAAUUUGACAUGCUCCUAUGAACUUCACAUGUUGGUGCUCAUGGGUCCUUUUAGAUGGAAGUGACUAGUAAUUACAGAGGUUGGUUAGUACACUUUAUUAGUACUUACAACUAUUAUACCCUUUGUUGUUUGUGCAUUUACACAUUUGACAUUGUAUAUAAAAAAACUCAAAUCAGUUUCUAAAUUGUAGCUAAUUUUGUGAAGGAAUAUUAUUUGUUUUUUCUUCUUCAACAUUUUCACUCUCCCUUUGUCUCUGUUCUCUGUUCUAGAGCUUAUGUCCUCUGUGAUGCCUCAGCCACAACAGAGGGAGGAAGGGGAGGAGGAAGAUGAAGAGCAAGGGGAGAAGUUCGGGUUUGUCGACAGUGCUGAUGAAGAGAAAGAGCCAGCGGAUUGUAAAGACCCUGUCUCACACUCUGUAAAAGCCAGUCAAAAAUCAAACCAGUCAUUUAAGGAGGCUACAAACCCACCACAGGACAACACACUAACACCCACUGCACACUCACAACAGCACCUCAAUGCAAUGCCCCCUGCUGGUCAGGAGGAGGCUCCCUCCCAGGGACAAUACUCCACAGCCUCUCCAGAUGUUCCAGUUAGCGACCCACGCAGGCGGGUCUCUGGCCCCGUUGAGCUGGUUGAGCCCAGUGACGGAGCACCCUCCGUGGGAGAGCAGGCCCAGGGAGGUUCUGGUCCUGGAGAGGCGUUACCUGUGGAGAAGCAGACUGACUGGGAGGACCAUAGUGUGGAGAUACCCAAGGAGAGCUCAAGUCUGAGGGAACACUCUGAAGAUGUGACUGAUGCUGAGGCUGAGGCUGAUGCAGAGCCCCAGACAGGGAUCCUAGAGGUGAUCUAUGAUGACGUGCCCUGUGAGGGACCACUCUCUCCUGACGAAGGUGAGUUCUGGGGUAAGGGCCAGGGCUGGGGCCACUGAGUGCUUUUAUUGUGCCUUGUCUGGUACUGCACCA